rnacentral:lncRNA from 1 species
UGGUAGGGGUUCCGGAUAUGGAGAUAGGAGACGUGGUAUGCAGUCUCGUGGUCCUCAGCCUAGGGGGAUGGUACAUCGGGGCCAGCAACUUGCUUCUGUUGCGGAAGGAGAACAGCAGCUACCUGAUCCCACAAAACUGAUGUUCGAUGCUUUCAAAGGGGUGGGUAAGUAUUUAAGAGAGGAAGGCCCAAUAGGGGCUGAGGCGGAAGCCAGUGGUGGGAAUAAUAAAGCACGUAAGGCGCUUUUGUUUGAAGAGACUACUGCUGGGCAUGAUCUCGUUUCUACUGGAGAGGGAGUGGAGCAUGCUGGAAAUCUGGUGUUGAAGAUGCAGAGUGAGGAUGAUGAUGCAGUGAAGAAGGAUGAUGAGAGGGCCUUGCACAAACAGGCGUUGGAUGAGGCUAAUAUGAUGUUAGAGGGCGAGCUUCUCUCUGACUCAGAGCUUCUGUUAGAGGAGGGAGAGGAACUAGAGGACUGGGAGCAUGGCGAGAUCACUGAUGGUAUGGAAGAGGAAGAACAUGUUGGUGAAGGAGUAGAGGAGGGGGAGCAAGCUGUUCUGGAGGCUGAUGCUGGCGAGACUGAUGUGGCUGAUCCAGGAAAGGCUCCUUUGAAGAAAGGUGUUAAGGCGGGGAAUGGGGGAGCUCCAAAGAAGCGGUCAGUGCCAGGUUUCGUCUCUCCACGUAAGAAGCUCCUUGCUAAGGUGGCUAAGGCUGGAGAUAAGGUGGCUAAGGCUGGAGAUAAAGUAGCUAAGAAGGCCUCAAAUAAGCCAUAGUGCUUAGUGAAGUAAAGGUGUUGCAGGCCACGGUUUUUGUUUUCUGGUUUUUUGAAUAAUGUCGGAUUCUUUUAUGAAAUCCUUUGAAACAUGGUGCUGUUUUAGUCGUUUGGUUUGUUUCUUUGUUAAUCCCUUGGGUGUUACCAGGGUAUGGUUUUACUUUGUUAUUGUGUUGCUUUUGGACUGGGUGAAGUGUUCUAUUAAUAACUGGUUGGUCUGUUUACAUCUUGGAGUCAGGAGCCAUGUUGUGUGGUGGAUGCGUUUGCCUUUCAUUCAGGUAUAUUUUAGUUCUAAUAUAUAUUUUAAAUUUGAUACUAGACACCCCUUUAAGGCUAUUAGCUGGCCUACUUGGAUAUUUUGUGGUGGUUCUCUUUUUUCUGGUUAUGGUGGACUCUUUAGGGUUUGUAAUGUUUGGUGCGAUGUCUGGUAUUAUGUCUAUGGAAUCUGCUCGAGUGAUCAGUAUUUGGCAGGAGGCAGGUUGUGUUAUGCUGUGGUUCUGAGGUGGUGGCUAUGGUCAUCUUUUGGAAGUAGUUUAAUGUUGAUCUUUCGGAGACAAGGUUCUAGUUGGGGUUAUAGGUUUGUUAAGCUACUGUGUCUUCAUGUUAUGUGCUUUGUGGCUUUUUCGAAUCGUUUUUUGUUCGAUGGUGUUGCGCUAACCAUAAUGAUAAUAGUGUUGGUGGUUGGUUUGGGGUUUUCAUUUGUGCCAGAGAGUAAACUUUUAUGGAUGAGGGGAUGGAGCUUUGUUGGUAUCGUCCAGUUAUGGAUUUGGGAUAAUUUUGGUUUAAGUGAUGCUUUGGAACAACAGGUGAGGAGAUUCUUAUUUCUUGGUUAUAUGAGUUUCAAUGGUUUCUCUGCUCUAUUUCUCCGGUAUGAUUUUGGUUGGCAAGUCGUUCCUAUGGUGUCUUCGGUGGCGGAGUUUGCCGUUAAGGGGUUGUCUUCCGAGGCAGGAAGUAAUUUUGAUGGUUUGAGUUGGUUUGUCUCAGGUUUUUCAUGCAUGAUUAUAUGGUGGUCUCGACAAUCUGUUGUUUUAUGGCCCGUUAGUUGGCUAGAUGAAAUUAAUUUUUGUAUGGAGACAAUAUGGGGCCUUUUCAUCCUUAUAAGGGAAAGUUCACUAGAGGUGUUGGUGAUGGGUCCUCACUAAAUGGUAGGGGUUCCGGAUAUGGAGAUAGGAGACGUGGUAUGCAGUCUCGUGGUCCUCAGCCUAGGGGGAUGGUACAUCGGGGCCAGCAACUUGCUUCUGUUGCGGAAGGAGAACAGCAGCUACCUGAUCCCACAAAACUGAUGUUCGAUGCUUUCAAAGGGGUGGGUAAGUAUUUAAGAGAGGAAGGCCCAAUAGGGGCUGAGGCGGAAGCAAGUGGUGGGAAUAAUAAAGCACGUAAGGCGCUUUUGUUUGAAGAGACUACUGCUGGGCAUGAUCUCGUUUCUACUGGAGAGGGAGUGGAGCAUGCUGGAAAUCUGGUGUUGAAGAUGUAGAGUGAGGAUGAUGAUGCAGUGAAGAAGGAUGAUGAGAGGGCCUUGCACAAACAGGCGUUGGAUGAGGCUAAUAUGAUGUUAGAGGGCGAGCUUCUCUCUGACUCAGAGCUUCUGUUAGAGGAGGGAGAGGAACUAGAGGACUGGGAGCAUGGCGAGAUCACUGAUGGUAUGGAAGAGGAAGAACAUGUUGGUGAAGGAGUAGAGGAGGGGGAGCAAGCUGUUCUGGAGGCUGAUGCUGGCGAGACUGAUGUGGCUGAUCCAGGAAAGGCUCCUUUGAAGAAAGGUGUUAAGGCGGGGAAUGGGGG